AAAAAGAAAACAGGUCAACACAAAACUUGAUGUACAUGUUUGACAUAUGCUCGCCAAGCAGCCACACGAAAACAAAACAGCUGCUGCUUCUCAAAAAGGCUGGUGAACUCCCAAGUCCUGAAACGAUCUCAGCAAGUCCUGGACAGAUCUCAGAAACGUGUAUGUGUACGUGAGAUGGUGCUUCGGAUGACUGGCAACAAGGCUUUUUGGGGGUACCAAGAUUGCCGACGUGUCAUUACAUCUAAAGUGUGGCUUAAUUCGGUGGCUCUGACAUACGCACCCAGUAUGAAGAAAGCGAACAUGAAGAGGUUCAGCACUCCGGUGGCCGUCCCCAGUAUGAGGAACUUGCGCUCGUUUGCCUCUGGGUCGGAUUCGGACGGAUAGAG